AAGUCGUAACAAGGUUUCCGUAGGUGAACCUGCGGAAGGAUCAUUACUAGAGCAAAGGAUAGACAGCGCCCUCGGAGCUCGCUCCCGGGGCUACCCUACUCCCGUAGGGUUUAGAGUCGUCGGGCCUCUCGGAGAAGCUCGGUCCUGAACUCCACCCUUGAAUAAACUACCUUUGUUGCUUUGGCGGGCCGCCUCGUGCCAGCGGCUUCGGCUGUUGAGUGCCCGCCAGAGGACCCCAACUCUUGUUUUUAGUGAUGUCUGAGUACUAUAUAAUAGUUAAAACUUUCAACAACGGAUCUCUUGGUUCUG
rnacentral:misc_RNA from 1 species